rnacentral:lncRNA from 1 species
UAGAUCAUAAGAUACGAAGGGAGAAAUUCCUCCUCAUAAAAGUCAAACCGUCCGGCCUCACUUCAGAUUGAACGAUCAACUGCCGUUCGGACAUCACAAAGCUCGCCACCUUGAGCGACCGUGCGAGAGAUCGAGUGACCGAUAUUGACUCCGAAGCGGACGACAAUGGAGUUCCCAUAUGGUCAUCACGCUCACGGACACCACCACAAACACGACGGCGACGACAACGACGAGGAGUCCCGAAGAAACCUGCCCUACCCGCCACCCGGAGCCACCCUCCCGCCCUACGUCUACGGCCAGCCUCCCCCUCCUCCUCCGCCGUCCAACGUGUACCACACCUCGCACUCGCCUCCCCCGUCCGCUUACCCCUCCCCCUACCCUCCACCGCCUCAGAUGUUUCCUCAAGGAUCAACCGAGUACUCUGCUUACCCGUACCCGCCGCACGUGGCUCACGGCGGUGGAGCUCUGGCCUCUUACUUCGCCUACAAGCUCACUUACAACGUUUUCUGCAAGGCCAACCCCAAUUAUUCUCUCGCUAUCAGGGACUCAAAACUCGUUCUUGCACCCUCCGAUUCCAGUGAUCCUUAUCAAGUAUGUCGUUUUGCUUUGCUUUCGCCUGUCACCCCCGAACCUUGAUCUUUGGUUCUGUAAAAUAUAUUCAACUUGAUAGCCCUUUUUUUACGGGGGUUUGGUCUGAUCUGCCUAAUCUGAGCGUUUCUGAGCUUGUUUUAGUGUUGUUUGACUUUUUUUCUUUCCGUCGUGUGAGUGAUGGUUUUUAUUCUUUAAUUCUUUUGGUGAUGUGGAGUGGCUUGUAUGAUUUCAUUUGAUCAGAAGUGGUACAAGGAUGAGAAGUUCAGCACCAGAGUCAAGGAUGAAGAGGGUUCUCCCUGCUUUUCUCUGGUCAACAAGGCCACUGGUGAGGCCAUCAAGCACUCUGUUGGAGCCUCUCACCCGGUGAGUUUGUCUCUCUAGAUAUUCAAAUCUGAAACCUCUGCAAUUAUAGGAUACCCGUUCGAGCUGCAAAUUAGGAUAGGAAGAAUGAUCUAUUCGCAUAAUCUGGGCUGUAGAGCAGAAGAAAAGCUCAUGAGACUAGUUAUAAGCCAGAUAUCACUUUCGUGCGAGUCGUAUUUCGGUGACCAUGAUACUUUAGCCCAUCAUCAAUCUCAUUGGUCAACAGAGCUGUCAAGUUUGUUCUCCUUGUUCGACCAAAAGAAGAUUGCAGUCUUCCAAUUAUUAUCGGCUUUGAUAGCCAAGAAUCAUGACUAUGGAUGUUGCCUUGUAUUGACUUGCAUGAUAAACUUUGGAGAUUCAGGCAUUGGAUUGAUCAAAUUACUAGUCAUUCGUUUUAGCAGCGCUAUAACUUCUAAAUUAUCGUUUUUCUAUACUUGUCUAGAUUCUGUGAGUGACUUCACGAACAUAAGUGUGUCAUUCUAGUGUGUCAUAGAAACUAAGGUUAAUCUCAAAAUGGCUCAUUAUAAGCUAUAUCUGAACAUUUGUUUAUCUUCCGUUCGGUUGUUGUACCACGAUCCUCUGAUUCGGUUUCAUUUUUGGUAACUGAUCGUCAGACCGGUCGUGGUUCCAAAAGAAUUCUUCUUGAGGCAUAAGUUGUUUUCCAUUCUGGCUACCAUUUUAGUACCUUUUUCGCUGCCUGAAUAUUUUCUUGCAUUUUUGCCUUUAUGAAUGCCAACGUGGACACUACUGAAAAGGUCGACCGCCCUCUAAAGUCAGCAUUGUCUUUCAGCUUCUGUGAAAAAGCCUGUUUGCACCGAGCCUUCACUUUCGUUGCCUCAACUUGAGUUUCAUCUCGACAUGUGUAUUUUUGAGCCAAUUGUUGGGUUUGGUUAAACUCCUGGAGGUUCUCAUGAUUUGCACAUAAUGCAUGCUUCCUCACCAGAAAAUGGACAAAUAUAUUUUGGAUUAGGAUAUAUGUACCUGGUGAUCAUACAGUAGUGAGGGACAGACCCACUUUGAAAUCAAAGGAAAAGCUUAAUUUAAGCCUUAGCUCUCUGAAAAUAUUGUUGGUAUCAGAGAUGCAGAUAUUUGUCGGAUCUAAGAUUUGCACUUUUGGUAAUCUGCAGGUGCAGCUGGCACCCUAUAAUCCAGAGCAGCUUGAUGCAUCUGUUCUGUGGACGGAGAGCAAGGACCUUGGCGAUGGUUACAGAGCCGUAAGGAUGGUUAACAAUGUUCACCUGAAUUUGGAUGCUUUUCAUGGUGACCAAUUAUCCGGCGGCGUUCAUGAUGGCACAACUAUUGUGCUCUGGCAGUGGAACAACGGAGAUAAUCAGAAUUGGAAGAUCACCACGCAUUGUAAGUUCCUUAGACGCAGAGGAGAGAAAUAACCUUUUUUACAACUAGACACUCGUUUCUUUUUCUUUCAUUUCUGAACUAUACCCUUUGAUGGUUGAUGCAGAAUACAUGGGGGAAGAGUACCUGAAUUUGGAGGUUGUCUUAUUUGCGGGAUAUGCAUUUGGUGGAUUGCUAUGCUUCCACGCGAGUUUGUGUUGUGAUCUCGAAUAUUGCUUCUAUCUCCAUGCUCGAUUAAGACUCGACUGCUAUCGUGUGUUACUUUUACUUUGGAUUUUAUAGCAUUAUCAUUUUGUGUGUUAUAUCACACCGCAGACUAUAUAUAUAUGCCUGAUAAAUUGGUAAUCCUCUGCAUUAAGCUGUUUUAGAUGUCGCUUGUGGAGAUAGAUAUACUAUAUCAUGUAUGCGUUGCAAGCGCGAGAAGAGCAUGUUCUCAUGUUGCCAUGCGCUGCUACAUCGCAAAGUGACAAAUAUGACAAGAGCAGCUGUUAAUUUUACAGCUAUUGUCCUUUUUUUCUUAGAAUCAAUCAUGUCCAUCGUUUUCCUCAGCUGACUUGAUCGUCUCACGUGUUUACACAUCCAAUCGCCCACCACAGUCUUGAGUUCCUUUGGACUUGAUUUCGUUUCAUAAUUGGGUUGAGAUCAGUUAAAAAUUAGGCUUUCGAGCAUUGAUUCUGGGAGUUGGACAUCAGGUGUUCGAUGUCUCACAGAGCUUCUAUCUUCUAUCUUCAUCAGUAGUUCCGAGGAUAGACUCUUUAGCCAUAAUUAGAGGCUGCGUGUCCGUUUGGUAGGUGAGGAAGUACAUUGCUCUGUUGCUAAGGCAGAGCGAGGCUUUCCUUCGACGACUCCAUCGGGCCGAACUGUGCAAGUCCGAGUUCAAGGCCCUAAAAGAAAUUUCUGGGUCCGAAUCCUAAACCAAGACAGAGUACGAAAUAAGUACGCAAGUCCGAGUUCGAGGCCUUAAAAGAAAUUUCUAGGUCCGAGUCCUAAGCCACGGCAGAGCACGAAAUAAGCAUGAAAUUUUUAGCCCUUUAAAUUUAAUUGGCCUAAACAUCAAGAGUUCUAGUACUAAUUGCCAUUUAUAUACUAUUUCAAGUGGACCCGCAUCUAAGUUUCUUGCUGGAUUUUGGCCUGCAAUAUCAUAAAAGUAAUCGAGAAUUUUGCAUUAUAUCAACAAUUGAAAAGGACAAAUGGUGGAAUACGUAUGUAGAGCACUACAAUACCGUCGGUCCAUUCGAUUUUAAGUUUCUAUACUCUCUGCGUUUGGCCGGCAGUUCGAAAGUGGACGUAUGGUGUGAUCUCUUCAUGUCAAGUGAACUCCACAAAGCAUGCACCGGGCAAAAUCAUCAUCAUGUUCUUGGACUUGCCUCCCCGGGUAUUUAUUGUCCCAAAGUAAAAUCUAUCUUUUGCUCAAUGUCCACUUAUUCCUCACCAAGUUGCAUGAGAAACCAGAUAAAAAGUCAUCUGAGCCUCUUCGUAUCCAAGAGACAUUGACGGAGAGCACGUGGACGACCACCAAUCAUCAUCGGGAUCGCUAACGCAAGUCGAAAUAUGCUCAGAGCCCUCGGGCAUCUUACACUUCAUGUUGACUAUGACAAGUACGUGCCUCGUUUCUGAUUGGAAAGAUUUUUUUUUGCUUUUAAUAAUGUCUCUUUGCUUACAUGGGGAAAAUAUUGACUUGUCCCCUUACUGACACCGGAUCCAAAAGUUGGGCCCAAAUGUAAAGAAAUUAAUGGGACUCAACCAGGCCAUGACAACACACUUUAUUUUUAAAAAUGAAUUGCUUGACAAGCUCAUCGAUCAUCAAUUAUCAAUGGAUAAAGUUUAAGUACAUGACAUUUGAUUAACUCGAAACAUGUGUAUAAGUUGAAGAUUGAGUAAAGGAUCCGUUGGUCAAGAAUAACAGUAGCUAAGGAUUAGGGUAUAGUUAGAAAUUGGCCCUAGAGUAUGCACAAAUUAAGAUAGAGAUUCUUAUUGAAAAAUAGUGGAAUUCAGAAUGAAAUCGCUUAUUUAAAGAUACGAGAAGAAUCAAGAAAAAUACAUAGAUAGAAGCACAACGCUUCAAAUUUCGACUAUGAAAACAUGAAAAUGUGAAUAUCAUUCACAAAAGAUCAAUCUAGAUUGAUUUUGCUCAAGUGUGAAAUUGAAUUAUGAUAGAAAUUAGAUUUCUUGGUUUAAAUACUUGUCUUUGACUAUAAAAGCUUUCCAUUUGUAUUUUAUGUGUCUUUUACUUUCUCUACAUACUCCAAUCAUCUUCAUUAGCAAUAUAGGUUUGGUUUCGGUCAUGAAGAAAGUGUAACCUCCAAGAAUGUAAGCCAAUUUUUGAAUAGCUAAAAUUUCAUGCGUUGUUGUUUUCAAUUUAUUAUUAAUGCAUUAUUUAGCAAUUUGAGUUUUGGCAAAGCCCUUGAGUCUUUCAUGCAUAUUAGAUUCCUUUUACUUUUGAUAGAAAUAAAAUUUAUCAAUAUCAAUCGACCAUCAAUCACGUUCAAUCGAACUUUGAUCACUUCUAGAAAGGGAAAAUUUCACGAAUAAAAAUAAACUUAUUGCACUUAUAUAAAUUCAAUCUAGUCAAUUUAAUCUUAAACUUUUUUGAUAAUUUUCCAAUUGAAUUAUUCUAAUUAAUUUUGACUGGAAAUCACUAAUAUUGAUGUUAAUUUUUUUACUUAACACGUGCAACGCUAAUAUAAAUAAUUUUUUUGUAAUUUUUUAAAACCGUUGGUGAGGCCCUUGUACCAACUCCCUUAUUUAUUUAUUUUUGGUCUAAAACGAUAGUAUUAUUAAGAACACAAAGAGUAACAACCGUUCGACAGUGCUUCAGAAUAAAUAAGGUCAAUAAAAUGCUGAGGAGGAGAUACAGCCCAGUUCGUUGGAAGGAGAGAGCGCUCAUGGGCUUUGGCGGCCCAGUCGGCAAUAACAUUUGCUUCUCUUCGGCAGUGAUGAAUCUUCAAAUUAGGGAAACAUGGCCACAACGACGCAUUCAGCGAACAGAGCUCUGUUCUCCCAAGGUGUCAAGGUAGGGUUUUGCAUGGCUUCCACAAGAACGGAACAGUCAAAUUCCAGCACAAGAUGAUCGUUUGAUUUCCCUUUCUGCAGCAGAAAUUUAAGUGUAAGAACGAGCGCCUGCACCUCUGUUUGCAGAGCUGAGGAGGCAAUGACGGUGCAGGUAAAGCCGUCGGUUAAUUGGCCUGAAGAGUCCCGGCACACACGCCACUGAGCCUUCAUAUUGGGCUGAUGGGUAGGCACCAUCUAUGUUUACCUUUACCACUCCCGAAUCUGGUGCGCAUCAUCUCUGCUCUGGAUCUGAUUGUUGUAAACCCUUUUUCGGCUUCGUUUGAUUGCAGCAUCGAAUGGAUCCAGCAUUUGCUAAAGCCACCCGUACCACCUGUACCCUCGAUCAAACUCAAAUUCUCGACCGACCAAAAAAAAACUCCCUUAUUUUAUGUCAUCGAAUUUGACAUGACAACCGUGCGGAGGACAGAGUGGGGAUGCAUCACCCAUUUCUAUGUCAAGCUAUUAAUAUUUCAUGUCGUGUUUGGCUCCCCAACAUGGAGGGCACAAAAGCCUCCUUCCAUUUGCCACUUCUCUCUUUACUAACGAUAAUGUCGAGAUGGGACCUCAGCUCAUAAACCUCGUACCAAGAGAGUAUCACAAGUAUUACGUGAAAAAAAUAAAGAAUUUAAUUUCAGAAUUUUUUUUAUAAGGCAUUUGUUAAACAAUAAGAUUAAAAAUGCGUCAUCUCUAAUACGUGAAAAUAAUAAGACACUUAGUUACAUUUAUAAUUAACUACUUAAAUUAUAUAUAAUUAUUUGAUUAGUUCAACACGUGCUGGCUAUAUUGAGUAAUACCAAAAGUUUCGAGCUAAGUUCUGCUCGUCAAGUCAAAUUAGCCUUUUGAUAGAACUAAAUUGGUGAAAUUAAAAUUUUAAAAUUGGAUUGACACAAAUGCAAUAAAUCUAAGACAUAGUUGAUAAUUUCUACCUAGUUGAAAUCGUUGAUUAUAUCGCUAUCAUAACCUUACAACAACCCAGCUAACAACUCCCUUAUUGUAGGUAUGCUCAUUGAAUUUGACAUGACAACUGUGCGCGAGAAAGAUGGGAAAUGCAUCACCAAUUUCUAUGCCAAACUAUGAAUAUUUUAUGUCGUGUUUGGCUACCCAACAUGGACGGCUCAAAGCCUCUUGCCAUUGGCCAUUUGUCACCUUAGGACCGAGAAGAUCGAGGUUAAAACCACUGGCCAUAAACCUCGUACCAAGUGGCCCGGAUUGGGGCAGGCGGCUAACUAGGGUUUGAUAUAAUCUUUUGUCAAUAAUAAAAUGAAAAUUCCAAUUGGCUAAACAUUUAUAAAAGAAAGGAGAAGUUUCCCGAGAGGUUUCAUGAAACACUUCGCUCUUAUGUAAAGAUAAGAAUUAUAUUAUCUUUGCGACAAAUACGUGUACUUCCUUAUGUACAUAGAAAGAAAAAUUAUGUAUUAUAUAUAAUAAUUUCUUAUGCAAAGAAGACCCCAUUUGAUCACCGGAUUCGAUGAUCUAACAAAUUCCAUUCCAAUCGUACACAUCCUACUUCAAAGUAUAGUUAUGAGACAACGAUAUUCAUAACUAAAUUCUCAUAAUUGAGAAGUUUAGGAUUGAAUUAACCACCGUAUAAUAAAUUUACGAUUUUUUUGGACAAUUUUCUCUAUUAAAGCACACAUAGAUAAGGAAUAUUGAAGUAUUGCACAUAUUACAUGGAAAAAAAAAUAAUGAAUUUAAUCUUAAAAUAGUUUCUGAGGCAUUUAUUAAAUAACCAGAUUAAAGAUGCAUCAUUUCUAAUACACGGAAAUGAUAAUACAUUUAGUUAUAUUCAUAAUUAACUACAUAAAUUAUAUAUAAUUCUUUUGAUUAGUUCAACCGGUGUUGACUAUAUUAAGCAAUACAAGAAGUUUAAAUGCUAAGUUUCUUUUAUCGAGUCAGAAUCACUCUUUUGAUUGGAAAUAUAUUCAACUGGACCUAAUUUCAAUAUAUCAAAUAAAUUAUAAUCGUCGAUCACGAGGGAUUCAGAUGUGGCGAUAGAUCAUAAAAAACGAAGGGAGAAAUUUCCCCUCGUAAAGUGCUCCAAACUUUUGUAGCUUUUGCAAAAUUCCAAAAAAGUCAAACCGUCCGGCCUCACUUCAUAAAGCUCAACAGCCGUUCGGACGAUCAACAGCCGUUCGGACAUCAUAAAGCUCGCCACCUUGAGCGAUCGUGCGAGAGAUCGAGUGAUCGACACCGACCCCGAAGUGGACGACAAUGGAGUUCCCAUAUGGUCAUCACACUCACGGACACCACCACAAACGCGACGGCGACGACGGCUACGAGGAGUCCCGAAGAAACCUGCCCUACCCGCCACCCGGAGCCACCCUCCCGCCCUACGUCUACGGCCAGCCUCCCCCUCCUCCUCCGCCGUCCAACGUGUACCACACCUCGCACUCGCCUCCCCCGUCCGCUUAUCCCUCCCCCUACCCUCCGCCGCCUCAGAUGUUUCCUCAAGGAUCAACCGAGUAUUCUGCUUACCCGUACCCGCC